UACGUAGGGGGCAAGCGUUGUCCGGAAUUAUUGGGCGUUAAAGAGCUCGUAGGCGGUUUGUCGCGUCUGCCGUGAAAGUCCGGGGCUCAACUCCGGAUCUGCGGUGGGUACGGGCAGACUAGAGGUGAUGUAGGGGGAGACUGGGAAUUCCUGGUGUAGCGGUGGAAAUGCGCAGAUAUCAGGAGGAACACCGAUGGCGAAGGCAGGUCUCUGGGCAUUUAACUGACGCUGAGGAGCGAAAAGCAUGGGGGGAGCGAACAGG
rnacentral:rRNA from 1 species